GCACGUGAGGGUGGUCUGGCUGGGACACCUGUUACUCCAAUGAUUUCCAGAGUCAAUUCAGCUGACCUAGCUGCCUAGGCAGGUGACCCUUUCCUCCCUCACCACUCCACAUGUUUCUUCCUGAUGCUGCAUGCUCCAUUGAGGAGGAAGACCUUCUGGGGAGGACCAUAGAAGAGGGCCAUUCUAUAGUGAAGGAUGUAUGAGAAGAUGUGCUUUGCUUUUAGAACCUUCCCCCCCCCCAAGAAAACUCUAAUCAUAAAGAAUUCAAAUAACUCAACAGCACAAAAAUGAAUAACUUGAUUAAAGUGAGCAAAGAAUCUUGUAUUAGUCACUUUUCUUU
rnacentral:snRNA from 1 species